GUCGAGCAUUCUAUCUGCUGAAAUUUAUGAGUUCAUCGUGGCGGCCAUGUGCUGGCUCAUGAUUCCCUUUCUACUGUUCCUGGGAAUCCCUGGCAACGUGGUGAGCGCCAUGGUGUUCUACAGACAGGGUCUUGGAGAGAGAAUCAACGUCUGUCUCUUCCUCCUGGCGCUGGCUGACCUCGUCAACGUCGUCAUCCUGCUUCUGUUGUAUGUCGAGGACCGAGUGAGAAAACACUUUAAUGCAAACAGCUGGUUCAUAAUAACCUAUUUAGGGGGUGUAAUCAGCGCCGAGUGGGCCUCUCAGUUCCUGUCGGCUGUCAUCGCCUGUGAGCGCUGUUUCUGUGUCGUCAGUCCCCUCCACGCCAAGCGGCUGCUGAAGACGUCCACCAUGACCGCCAUUGUUGUCGUCUGCUGUGUC
rnacentral:lncRNA from 1 species